GCAGUGUGAUCGUCAUCCUGUAGACGCACCGUUUACAGGUGUGAUCGUCAUCCUGUAGACGCUCCGUUUACAGGUGUGAUGGUCAUCCUGCAGACGCCCCAUUUACAGGUGUGAUCGUCAUCCUGUAGACGCCCCAUUUACAGGUGUGAUCGUCAUCCUCUAGACGCCCCGUUUACAGGUGCGAUCGUCAUCUUACAGCGCUAACACAACCCCCCAAACACACACAGAAGGAAGGUGCAAAGUGUUGCAUACUGAUUAGAACUCUGAUAUCUCCGUUUUAUCUGUUUAAAUUCACUUUUUAGAGGCUUAAUAAGCAGACAGGAAGUGCUCCCCAACCUCAAACUCUCAGGUCAGAUCUCUUCUCUCUCUCUCUCAGAGCACUGAGAUGCUUCCUGUAGUGACAAUAAUAAUAAUAGCUGCAAAGAAACAACCAAAAUGUGUUAUUAAUAAUAAUUAUAAUAAUAAUAAUAAAUGCAUGAACCCACUCUGAACCUGUGUUAGGCAUCAGUAUUAUUAUUGAUCAUGAUUUGUGCAUCUUUUUUCUUGUGCAUUUAAAGAAUAAUAGAGAUUUACAUGAUGUUGCAUUAUGGAUGUAAAACCCUGAAAAUGUAAUAAAAUAAGAUUUAAAAUCUGUUAA